CGUGGGGAACCUGCCCCAUAGUCUGGGAUACCACUUGGAAACAGGUGCUAAUACCGGAUAAGAAAGCGGAUCGCAUGAUCAGCUUUUAAGAGGCGGCGUAAGCUGUCGCUAUGGGAUGGCCCCGCGGUGCAUUAGCUAGUUGGUAAGGUAAAGGCUUACCAAGGCGAUGAUGCAUAGCCGAGUUGAGAGACUGAUCGGCCACAUUGGGACUGAGACACGGCCCAAACUCCUACGGGAGGCAGCAGGU
rnacentral:rRNA from 1 species